CAGAAGCGCUACCACUACAUUGGCUCUAUGGAAUAACUAUACUUGGCACUAAGGAUUAGUACAUCAAAUGCAAACAACUACUGUGUGGGGAAUAUCAUCAUACGUUUUAACUGGGCCUUGACCUGAUUGUGGGGAGUGGUUGAGCAAUGACACACCUACUUCCGCCAAUGACGUAGUACUUAUAUAUAUGAUGAACGAUUUUGUGUGUGGUAUGGCAUGUGACGUCUGCUGCUAUCCGAGGUACCACUGGGAUCAUAGUCAAAAUGGUAUCACUGCCGUUUAUCAUCGUCUACUGUUGAUAUUCAAUGCCUUCGCAUUGGAAGGUCCUAAUUACUACCGUCGAAGGAAUAUGGGUAGAAGUGUAGCGUGCAACCCCAAAAAUAUAUAUAUAAACAGUAAGAAGCGGAUGGGCACCCUCAGUUAACUUUCUGAGGUACUAAUAUUUUAUUUCAAUAUAUACAUAUAGUGAUUGGUACAAGAAAAACUUGACUAUUUGUCUUGAAUUAAGUAUGUACAGGAUUUCUGAUGCAGCUGGCUCGAUCUCUCUGAGCUCGGCUCAUACAGCUCGGCUCUCGUCGCUCUUUCCGACUCUAGCUCUUCGUGGUUCCGGCUCUUACUGGUUCUUCGUGGCUCCGGCUCUUACAGCUCUGCUCUUUCUCGCUCUUCGUGACUCCGGCUCUUACAGCUCGGCUCUUUCUGGCUCUUCGUGACUCCGGCUCUUACAGCUCGGCUCUUUCUGGCUCUUCGUGACUCCGGCUCUUACAGCUCGGCUCUUUCUGGCUCUUCGUGACUCCGGCUCUUACAGCCCGGCUCUUUCUGGCUCUUCGUGACUCCGGCUCUUACAGCUCGGCUCUUUCAGCGCGGUAUUACAAUUAUCUAAUAUUCAUACAAAGCCAGGAAAGACUUGUGCAGUCACGUCUAAGGCUUUGUAUAAUGUUAAAAACAAUUGCAAUGUAUAAAAUAAAUUACCUUUCUAACUCCACGUCUUCACUCUGUGCCGUCACUGCAUCAACUGCUUAUCGCCCGAAAUCUCCCGCUUAUAUACUACUUACAAAAACGCCAUCUAGCGGGGAAACUAUAACAUUUAGAAUACCCAAAGGCGGAGUAGGAAUUUCCGAAUUGUCACAGAAGUAUCACCAAUGGUGAAUUUAUUGAUGCAUCAGCUGGUGCUCAAAACACCGAAACUGGAAACAUUCAAGUCAGGGAUCGAAGAUCUGCAAUCGUGAGUCAAAAUUGUUCUCUGCUCAAUUUUAUCAUUUUAGAUUUUUUGCCUACCUGAUUCUAUUUACUUCCCUUACAACAGAAAAGGGGGUUGCUUAUCAUUUCGUAAAACGUACGGUACGAAAUUCUGUAUCGUGUUGAUAUUUAACUGUUGUACCAUAUCUAUGAUAAAAAUAAGAUUUAGUUUCUUUUUUGUUAUUGAGAACACAUUUUUGACUAUACAUUUCGUCAAAUAAUGGGUUGGGAAAGGGAGUGUUACCACUCUGAUUCCAAGCAUAAGUACCCCAGGGGUGACACUAAAGAUAUGGUAGAGUUCCUCAUUCAUAAAAUCUGCGUAGUCCUAAGUAAUCAAGUCAUCUUGUCGAAUUCCCAUGGGCACGAAUUGUUGCUCCUUUGUUAACGGACAUGUUUUUAUUGCUAUGAGACAGAAUUUAUUGAAAUUAAACUAGAAGAAAUAGUAUCUUAAUGUAUGAAUAUGAACGUUUUAUCUAUUAACAAUAAUAAUUUUCAUUCAUAUGUGGAUUCAAUAUAUCCGUGUCAACUCGAAAAAAGAGACAUCACAGAGUCCUCCACAUGUACUUCGUAUUUAAAUAUUUUAUUGAAAAUAGAUAGCAACUGCAAACUAACAACUCAACUCCAUCGUUGAACGUCAUGGACAUGUUAUGUCCACAGUUGUGGGUUGUUUUGUAUAUCAACAUUGUGAUGACUUACAAACAUGAAUUACAUUUAUACUUUGUAUAUCAGGAUAUAUAUGACUUAUGAAUAACAAGAUAUUGUUUGCUUUGUAUUUCAGUAUUGUCGUGAAAGAAAGAUUAAGGAAUAUCGAGGACCAGCAGGAGGAAGAGGAACAAAGGCUUACACAUGAACACACAUCGCUGAUCUGACAAACUGCAGCGAAAAAUGAACAGAGAAUUUGCAUGUUCAAUUCUUGUUAAAAUAUAAUGAAACUUUUAUCCUCAUUUUUGGUCAAUUUGUAAUUUGAUAGCAAUACACGGAUAGACGUGAUAAAUGCAUGCCAAUUUUAUGCGCUGCAUAGUAAUGAAUAGGAACAGACAGCUUUGAAUUAAAAUAAACGUGAAGAGGUUUAUGUGUUGGAAUGCGGAAGUAAGCAUGUCUGAUUUCAGUUCUUGGAAUCUACAUUGUCUUGGAAACUGUUCAUUGAAACUUCUGUUCUAAUAAAACUAUAAAAUAAAGAUGCGAUGAUCAGUGAUGCAAGCAGUAAUUCUGAAAUACCACAGUUCAAUUACUUUUGGGUUCCUCUUCCAUUUCCUACUGAAGGAUUAAUGUGAAAUUUAUUCUGAACCUCGUCUUAUAUUUAAGAUAUCUGGAUUUGUAGAACGUUAUAGGUGUUUGUCACCACACCUUUGUCGGUUGAACAAUUUUAACCAAAGUGAAUUGUCAUUUAGCGUCAACUUUCUAAUGGAUAACUGAGAAUUCUUGUAUAUCUUAUUACACUGAUUUUGACUACGGAUAACCCCGUUUACUUGA